rnacentral:sRNA from 1 species
ACUUUAUUCUUUCUCGUACCAAACUGAUGUGAUAUCUAAAAUGACUUUGAACUGAAAAGAGAGCAUAGCACUCGACAAUAAAAAGGGUUUUGAUAGAUCCCACUGAUUAUCUCUGAAGCGAAAAACCCCUUUUUUUCUCUCAACUUGACGAUUAGGGUUUCUUCUUCUCCUUGCCGCCGUUGGUGUGGCCUCUCGCCCACCGGCGAGAAUCUUCCUCUUUCUCCCUCCUCUCCCUUUUUUCUAUGGCUUUAGUGAUGCUUGCUCGGGCUCCUGCUCCACCUUUGCUCCUCCCUUCUCCGAAUCCGCCGCCGUGUGCUCUACCGCAAGAUUUGACCAGUUUGGUCUCUCCUUCUGAACCUCCCGACCCUCCAGACCCACCAGACUAUCUCGUUGGAGCUUCCAACUCCUUUCUCUCGAUUUUGCUGUUGAGGUCUUCAGAUCUAGGAUCAGAUCUUGUUCAGACUUUGAGCCCUCUAGAUCUGGGUUUUGCUUUACGAUCUAUUACUGCUGUGUGCAGUUCGUGGUACCAAGUAUUUCCUCUCGCUUGUUUGGAGCUUUGGUUCUCUAUUCCACACCUCUCUCAUCCUCUAGUCACUCUAUCAAAAGGUUUUGUCUCUCUGAAAGGUAGUAAUUUCUUUGAAUUUUUACCUUCCUUUGGAACAUGCCUUCGUUUAUACUUCAGUUCCCUCACCAUGAGGAUGUGAUGAUUUCUACUAGUUUUAGGCUGGUUUUACCUCAAUAUGAGGCUGUUAUGAUCUUGCUUAAGCUCAAGCUGUUCUUACCUCAUUAUGAGGAUUGUUGUUUUCGAUUGGACUUCGAAUUCAGCUUCUUUUACCUCAGUAUGAGGUUGGUUUGAUUCUGUAUAAGCUUAGGCUUCUCUUACCUCAUUAUGAGGAUGUUAUUUAAAAACUUUGGUUAAGAGCAAUUCAUGUUAUUGUUUCUUUGGUUUGGUUUCUUGAAAUUUCACGCAGGAUAAAGGAAAAGACAUAUGACGUCUUAACAAGAAAUGAUCUUGGGUCUUGGACUCCAGAUUUGUUCAUCAAGAAGUGGUGGUUUUCGCAACCCCACACCUCUCCGAAGUUGAGGUUUUUCUCACAUCUCGUAAGCUCAAGAAGUUGGUGCUUUGUCGCCUAUGCUAUUGUAGCCGUAUUUCAUGAUGCGUUUUAUCCACUAGAGGAUGUUGCAUCUCCGGACAGCAGAUCACCAAGUGUGCUCUCUUAUUUCCGAAAGCUCAUCUCAUGUUGCAGCACUAUUGGUGUCUCGAACUUUAGUUGCUUAACUGUUAUGUAUGCUUCUAUUUUUUUCUUUCGUGCUUUCUGUAUGUCAUUUGUAGCAGUGGUUUUUUUGGCCUUUGUAGCCUCUUUGAUGUACUUGUUGAACCAUUUCUCCAUUGUUGGAGAGUAGAAUCAUUUAUAAAAAGCUAGUUUGACCAAAAAAAAAAGAUCCCACUGAUUUUGCCAAUACCAAAUUUUACUAUUCCCAAUUAACUGUACCAAGCAAUAUCUUU